rnacentral:sRNA from 1 species
AUUCAUUCAUUUUUUCUUAUAUUCUCUUUUAUAUUCAACUUUUUAUUUCAAUUGAAAUGUAAUAUAAAAAUAUGAGUUUUUUAACAACAAAAAACUCAAAGGAAAUAUGUUUUUAGUUCAUGUGUUUUGAGCCCUUCUCAGGGGAUUUGUGUUGAGUUUAUUACAGCUAUGGAAAUGGAAAUUAUAGAAGUUCCAUAUUUAGCAGCCUUAUGUUUUUGAUCCUAAAAGUAGUCUGUUUUGAAAAGGUUUGAAAACAUACAAAAGCACACAUAUACUAAAUUUUUUCCCAUUGACUGGAGGAAAUUGAGAAGGAAUUUUGCUACAAAUUAAAUGUACAAAAAAUAUUGAAAGUGGGUUUGUUUUAGGAAUUUAUGCGUAUGAUUGGCAACGACAAACAAGGACAGAUGAUCGUGUUCCAUUUGAUAGAACUUUUGAAGAAUAAUGGAAGAUUACCAAGACCAGAUGGAUGCCCAGAUGAGAUUUAUAUGAUCAUGACAGAAUGCUGGAACAAUAAUGUAAAUCAGCGCCCCUCCUUUAGGGAUCUAGCUCUUCGAGUGGAUCAAAUAAGGGAUAACAUGGCUGGAUGAAAGAAAUGACCUUCAUUCUGAGACCAAAGUAGAUUUAUAGAACAAAGUUUUACAUUUCACAUUGCUGUGGACUAUUAUUACAUAUAUCAUUAUUAUAUAAAUCAUGAUGCUAGCCAGCAAAGAUGUGAAAAUAUCUGCUCAAAACUUUCAAAGUUUAGUAAGUUUUUCUUCAUGAGGCCACCA